UACGUAGGAGGCAAGCGUUGUCCGGAAUUACUGGGCGUAAAGCGCGUGUAGGCGGUCUGAAUAGUCUGCUGUGAAAGCGCCUGGCUUAACCGGGCGAGGUCGGCGGAAACUCUCAGACUGGAGGCCGGUAGAGGGGGGUGGAAUUCCCGGUGUAGUGGUGAAAUGCGUAGAGAUCGGGAGGAACACCUGUGGCGAAGGCGGCCCCCUGGGCCGCGCCUGACGGCUGAGACGCGAAGGCUAGGGGAGCGAACGGG
rnacentral:rRNA from 1 species